GAUGAACGCUGGCGGCGUGCCUAAUACAUGCAAGUCGAGCGAACAGACGAGGAGCUUGCCCCUAUGACGUUAGCGGCGGACGGGUGAGUAACACGUGGAUAACCUACCUAUAAGACUGGGAUAACUUCGGGAAACCGGAGCUAAUACCGGAUAAUAUAUUGAACCGCAUGGUUCAAUAGUGAAAGACGGUUUUGCUGUCACUUAUAGAUGGAUCCGCGCCGGAUUAGCUAGUUGGUAAGGUAACGGCUUACCAAGGCAACGAUGCGUAGCCGACCUGAGAGGGUGAUCAGCCACACUGGAACUGAGACACGGUCCAGACUCCUACGGGAGGCAGCAGUAGGGAAUCUUCCGCAAUGGGCGAAAGCCUGACGGAGCAACGCCGCGUGAGUGAUGAAGGUCUUCGGAUCGUAAAACUCUGUUAUUUGGGAAGAACAAAUGUGUAAGUAACUAUGCACGUCUUGACGGUACCUAAUCAGAAAGCCCCGGCUAACUACGUG
rnacentral:rRNA from 1 species